UGGACUCCUGCUCUACAUCAGAGCACAAGCUGGGCAAAGACUCGCCCUCCAACAAGUUGCUCUAUGCCAAGGACAUACCCAACUACAAGAGCUGGGUUGAGAGGUACUAUGCUGACAUUGCCAAGAUGCCCGCCAUCAGUGUCCAAGACAUGAGCGCCUACCUGGCAGAGCAGUCCCGGCUGCAUCUCAGCCAGUUCAACAGCAUGAGUGCCCUGCACGAGAUCUACUCCUACAUCGCCAAGUACAAGGAUGAGAUUCUGGUGGCUCUGGAAAAAGAUGAGCAGGCACGAAGGC